AUUUAAAUAGUUUAUAACAAAACAUUGACUUGUGGGGUCAAAAAAAUAUCUCAUAUUUUAAAUU
rnacentral:tRNA from 1 species